rnacentral:rRNA from 1 species
UACGUGAAACCGCUCAGGGGUAAACCUGCGAAACUCGAAUGAACGAACGGGGAGAUUCAUCGUUAUUCCGCGGCGUGGUGGCACGCUCUCGAUGCUCACGGUCUCGGCCGUGCGGUACGGGGUGGGUCAUUUCGACGUUCACGGACGGCGUGCACUUCUCCCUUAGUAAUACAUCGCGACCCGUUCGAUGUCGGCCUAAGCUCCGUUCGGGAGUCACUGUUGCACCUCUCGGGGUGCAGCGGUUACCGUGAUGGUCGCCGGCCGGCUGUCGGACGGUAUAAUUACGGAUCGCGUACGCGUUUAUGCGCGUCCGGCCCGACGCAAGGCUACGUCGUCCACCUCCGUCCUGCCCGUGUGCGGGCGGGGGUGCGGCGGGCCUGUCGUCGCAGCCGUGCUGUCUCGGACUGUACGCGUACCGUGUCUGCGAUGAUUCAGUUUCGGGCACUCGCAGGACCCGUCUUGAAACACGGACCAAGGAGUCUAGCAUGUGUGCGAGUCAUUGAGUAGAAUGUCUAAACUGAAAGGCGCAACGAAAGUGAAGGUGGACGCUCGCCGUCCGCUCAGGGAGGAUGGUGCGUCGAUCUCGGUCGACCUCUCGCACUCCCGAGGCGUCUCGUUUCCAAUCUGAGAUUGCAGGCGCGCUCUGAGCACAGAUGCUGGGACCCGAAAGAUGGUGAACUAUGCCUGGUCAGGUCG